AUACGGAGGGUGCGAGCGUUAAUCGGAAUUACUGGGCGUAAAGCGCGCGUAGGCGGCUAGAUCAGUCGGAUGUGAAAGCCCUGGGCUUAACCUGGGAACUGCAUUCGAUACUGUCUAGCUAGAGUAUGGUAGAGGGAAGCGGAAUUCCGGGUGUAGCGGUGAAAUGCGUAGAUAUCCGGAGGAACACCAGUGGCGAAGGCGGCUUCCUGGACCAAUACUGACGCUGAGGUGCGAAAGCGUGGGGAGCAAACAGGAUUAGAUACCCCUGUAGUCC
rnacentral:rRNA from 1 species